rnacentral:rRNA from 1 species
AUUGAACGCUGGCGGCAUGCCUUACACAUGCAAGUCGAACGGCAGCACGGGUGCUUGCACCUGGUGGCGAGUGGCGAACGGGUGAGUAAUACAUCGGAACAUGUCCUGUAGUGGGGGAUAGCCCGGCGAAAGCCGGAUUAAUACCGCAUACGAUCCACGGAUGAAAGCGGGGGACCUUCGGGCCUCGCGCUAUAGGGUUGGCCGAUGGCUGAUUAGCUAGUUGGUGGGGUAAAGGCCUACCAAGGCGACGAUCAGUAGCUGGUCUGAGAGGACGACCAGCCACACUGGGACUGAGACACGGCCCAGACUCCUACGGGAGGCAGCAGUGGGGAAUUUUGGACAAUGGGCGAAAGCCUGAUCCAGCAAUGCCGCGUGUGUGAAGAAGGCCUUCGGGUUGUAAAGCACUUUUGCCCGGAAAGAAAUCCUUGACUCUAAUACAGUCGGGGGAUGACGGUACCGGAAGAAUAAGCACCGGCUAACUACGUG